rnacentral:rRNA from 1 species
UACGAAGGGGGCUAGCGUUGCUCGGAAUGACUGGGCGUAAAGGGCGCGUAGGCGGAUGGCUUUGUCGGGCGUGAAAUUCCAGGGCUUAACCUUGGGGCUGCGUUCGAGACGGGUUGUCUUGAGUGGGGAAGAGGGUCGUGGAAUUCCCAGUGUAGAGGUGAAAUUCGUAGAUAUUCGCAAGAACACCAGUGGCGAAGGCGGCUCGCUGGCCCGAUACUGACGCUGAGGCACGAAAGCGUGGGGAGCAAACAGG